GCCAGUACUUUCUCCUUUUCCAUCCAAGCUAGCUGUGAGAGGCAAUGUUUAUGGAGGAUGGUCUCAGUGAAUACUACACGUUCGUUCUUUCAGAGCAGCAUUUUGCAACCUCACUACAGUUGACAUUCUGAGUUAGAUAAUUCCUUACUGGGGGGAGGGGCUGUCCUGUGCACUAUAGGGUAGUAAACAGCAUUCCUGGCCUCUGCUCACUAGAGUCUAGUAGCAGCCUCCUCACCAGCGGUGACAACCAAAAAUGUCUCCAGAGAUGGCCAAAGGGUUCCUUUUGGCACCCCAAUUGAGAACCAUUGCUCUAGAUUCACUAAGUUUAUUCUUGGAUUAAGCCAAAAUCAUCAGAAACCUACAAAACUGAGCCAUAAGGUUUCCCGAGAAAUUGUGUCCUUCAAUCUCAUCCCCUCUGAUGUGCUCUCUCCUCCUGUGAAGUCAGAUUGGACUUGGCCCUCCCACAUUGGAAGAAUCUAUGGGGCCCUGAAAUCUUUGCUGUGUCUGAGCGAUAGCAUCAAAGAAGGUGAAUUGGGCAAGAAUGACUCAAUUAUUUCGCAUUCUGAACAAUGCUGACUUGGUGACUGGCGUCCUGCAAGGGCUGCAUUCAAACGCCUCGUUCCACGCUUCCCAAGGAGAACUAGAGAGGGCCCUCCAGGUGUGAGCCUGUGGAAACCUGCCCUGGCGCUCCUCUCCCACAUUGUGACUCUUUGAGUUCUCCAGGGAACAGCUGGAGGCCCAGGAGGAUUACAGAGAAGACUGAGCAGAUUCCCAUAAACACUGUCUGAUAUGUGAUUGCGGAGCACACAGAAAUAUAAUCCUGUAAGAAACUGGAAUUGGGGGCUUCCCUGGUGGCACAGUGGUUAAGAAUCUGCCUGCCAAUGCAGGGGACACGGGUUCGAGCCCUGGUCCGGGAA